rnacentral:misc_RNA from 1 species
AUCUGUUUUAAGCUGUUUGUGUUUAC